UACAGAGGUCUCAAGCGUUGUUCGGAUUCAUUGGGCGUAAAGGGUGUGUAGGUGGCGCCGUAAGUCGGGUGUGAAAUUUCGGAGCUUAACUCCGAAACUGCAUUCGAUACUGCGGUGCUUGAGGACUGGAGAGGAGACUGGAAUUCAUGGUGUAGCAGUGAAAUGCGUAGAGAUGUGGAGGAAUACCGAUGGCGAAGGCAGCCCCCUGGGCCAAUACUGACGCUCAUGCACGAAAGCGUGGGGAGCAAACAGG
rnacentral:rRNA from 1 species